rnacentral:rRNA from 1 species
AUACGUAGGGGGCAAGCGUUGUCCGGAAUUACUGGGCGUAAAGCGCACGCAGGCUGACUUAUAAGUCGGUAGUCUAAUGCGGAGGCUCAACUUCCGUUUAUCUAUCGAUACUGUAAGACUAGAGUAUGUGAGAGGGAAGUGGAAUUCCCGGUGUAGCGGUGAAAGGCGUAGAUAUCGGGAGGAACACCAGUGGCGAAGGCGACGUCCUGGCACAAUACUGACGCUCAUGUGCGAAAGCUAGGGUAGCGAACGGGAUUAGAUACCCCGGUAGUCCUAGCCGUAAACGAUGGAUACUAGGUGUGGGUGUCGCAGGGCAUCCGUGCCGCAGCUAACGCGUUAAGUAUCCCGCCUGGGGACUACGGUCGCAAGACUGAAACUCAAAGGAAUUGACGGGG